GUCGGGGAGGGCCAAGAGGGAACCGCGUGAGAAUCGCGGGCUGUCGCGCAACUGUUACUCCGCGCCAUCGACGGGGGUGCACUCUUGCCAUUGGGCCACCACGGCCCGAGAAGGCGCACCCGCCGCAGCGGACCAGCCAGGAGACCUGCCACGGGCAAC
rnacentral:ncRNA from 1 species